rnacentral:rRNA from 1 species
UCAGAACUAACGCUGGCGGCAGGCCUAACACAUGCAAGUCGAACGGAUCCUUCGGGAUUAGUGGCAGACGGGUGAGUAACGCGUGGGAAGCUACCUUGUGGUAGGGAACAACAGUUGGAAACGACUGCUAAUACCCUAUGAGCCCUAUGGGGGAAAGAUUUAUCGCCAUGAGAUGUGCCCGCGUUAGAUUAGCUAGUUGGUAAGGUAAUGGCUUACCAAGGCGACGAUCUAUAGCUGGUCUGAGAGGAUGAUCAGCCACACUGGGACUGAGACACGGCCCAGACUCCUACGGGAGGCAGCAGUGGGGAAUAUUGGACAAUGGGGGCAACCCUGAUCCAGCCAUGCCGCGUGUGUGAUGACGGCCUUAGGGUUGUAAAGCACUUUCAGCAGUGAAGAUAAUGACAUUAACUGCAGAAGAAGCCCCGGCUAACUUCGUGCCAGCAGCCGCGGUAAUACGAAGGGGGCUAGCGUUGUUCGGAAUCACUGGGCGUAAAGCGUACGUAGGCGGACUGAUCAGUCAGGGGUGAAAUCCCGGGGCUCAACCCCGGAACUGCCUUUGAUACUGUCAGUCUUGAGAUCGAGAGAGGUGAGUGGAACUCCGAGUGUAGAGGUGAAAUUCGUAGAUAUUCGGAAGAACACCAGUGGCGAAGGCGGCUCACUGGCUCGAWACU